rnacentral:piRNA from 1 species
UGGGAGCUUGCAUUUCCUCCUUGUAGGAAGAC